rnacentral:SRP_RNA from 1 species
GCUGGGCAUGGUGGCGGGUGCCUGUAAUCCCAGCCACUUGGAGGCUGAGGCAGGAAAAUUGCUUGAACCCAGGAGGCGGAGGUUGCAGUGAGCUGAGAUUGCUCCACUGCACUCCAGCCUGGGUGACACAGCGAGACUCCGUCUCAA